rnacentral:lncRNA from 10 species
GAUGACAAAGAAAAGAAGAAACAAUGGUCACACCAAAGAGGGCCGCAACCAGGUGUACGCUAUUCACUGCAGCCAAUUUGCUGCAUAAACUGUGCCCAUUGUGUGCCCAAUGACAAGGCUUAUUAAGAAAUUCAUCAUAGGCCGUAGAGGCUGCGGCAGUCAGCGAUAUUUCUGAAGUGAGCGUCCUAGAUGCCUGUGUACUUCCCAGGCUGGAUGUGAAGCUACAUUACUGUGUGAGUUGUGCCAUUCACAGCACGGUAGUCAGGAAUCAAGGUCAUGAAGCCCACAAGGAUCGAACACCUUCCCCCCACUGUAGACCUGCGGGUGCUGCCCCACGACCGCCAGAAAUCAAGG